rnacentral:tRNA from 2 species
AGAGAGAUGGCUGAGUGGUUGAAAGCGGCGGUCUUGAAAACCGUUGAGGCAGCAAUGUCUCCGGGGGUUCGAAUCCCUCUCUCUCUG